rnacentral:tRNA from 1 species
GCGCCUGUAGCUCAAUCGGAUAGAGCAACGGAUUUCUAAUCCGUAGGUUGCAGGUUCGAUUCCUGCCAGGCGCG